GAGGAACAGAUGUAGCUUCCUUCUAUGGCGUGUUCGGUGACUCUUCUGCUCCUUGAUCCUAGUUGUCUCUGGGCCAACACACAGAAUAUUUUUGCAAACCAGGAGGAGGAGGAGGAGGGAGCUGUGUGCCCUAUUUGGGCAGUGUCUGCAUUGGUUCUAGGUGGGCUGUGGAGGAUGCAGGUAGGUAAGCAGAUACAGCUAUCUCCUGGGAAACAAAUCUCUGUGUGAGAAUCCUUUUCCAGCAGAGAAACAAACCUCUGUGGGUUCCUCAGUUUAUGUAGCAUUAACUUGCACAGUUCACAUUGAAAAGGAUGUUAAAACAGUUCUUAAAAAUAAUCAUAUAUAAUGAUUCUUUUCUCUGUCUUGAUGCUUUAAAAGUAAUUUAUUUGUCCUUAUUAGUUCAGGCACAACAUGGAACUGGGCUGAAUCUCCCUUUAAAUAAUCCUGCUCUCAGCUGGUUGCAUUGUUCACCCCAGUCUGUGUUGUGCAUUACUCCAUGGAAGAGAGCCUAUAGUAUUGGCUCCCUCCCUGCUCCAGACAGAUGGUAACUGCUUCUAUUCCCAAAACCUACCAAAUGAUCAUUAUUUACUUUGGACAUCUGUUAAAUGCUGAGCUGUCUGGGGAACAAAGUGAAGGAGCUGCAGUCCUGAUGGGAAUAUUGAAGGAGAGCAGUGAAACAGACUGAUCUCCCAACAAUUGGGCAUUGCAAGGGUUUUCUGCCUCUGCCGGUCAACGCUGGCUUGUGCCAUACCCAAGCAGAUUACUUCCAGUCCUAAAGGAGAAACUGUCCAGGUUUCCCAUGAAGAAGCUGAUCGAAUCCAUUUGAGCUGGCCACAUGGAUUGCAGAGUCAUUGUGUGGAAUACAAGACUUGCCUUCUCAAACCCAUGGAGAUGAAGCCAAUCAGAAAACUACCAGGUUUGGCCAGGAUUUCCAGGCAUUUGUCUGCAUGUGUACAAUCCAUGGUGGGGAGCGCAGGACCAGAGCAGGAGAGAUUGAAAGGAGAGCAAUUAGGAGAAGGGGUGAUGCCCACGGAGCAGUCUGGGCAGCUCAGCUGGAGCUGAAGGUAAGACGUGAUGGCAGGAAUACAAGAAAUGCCUGGGUAUCUGCAGCAUGGGAGGAGGAGGUUGUUUCGCCUCACGCAAACCAUGAAUGCCCUUGGGCCUCCUAGAGAUGGGCAGUGAACGACUGCACAGAGGUACACAGCAAGUGAACACCCUGGGCCCUGGGAGGCCAUUUCGUCUUUUACUUCACCCAGGUUGCCCAAUGUGUGAUGUAAGGACCCGGCUGCCUGCUGCCCCGCUCACCAGGACACCCUGGGCUGGAAGGGACUGCUUUGUGGAGCUGGUGGAGAGCACCAGUGCUCACCAGCUGUAGUCCUGGCCCACACUCCGCUUCAGCUGAGCAGGCAUCAAGGCGAGCUGCUGGGUGGGGAUGGGCGCAGCUGGCCCUGGUGGCAUGCUGGCACGGGGCAGCCCAACCGCAGAGUCCUCUUAGUGAGAGGGUUUGACCGUGCAGGGCUGCUCACAAGUCCAAAGCUUGGGGUCUGGUUCGGAGCCGGGGCACAGAAGGCAGCGAUGCUAUAUGCUGGCCAGGUCUUCCUAUUUCUAGUGUUCAGAAUCCCUUAUUAAAAGGUUAUAAACUGUGCAGUUGCUGUAGUGUCAAGAAUGUUUCUAAUGUUUUUAUUUCCUUUUUAAUUUAAUGGGAAAAUGCACUUUUUUUUAUUUCUGUAUUCCUUUUAUGAUUAGGGGAAACCCCAUCUAGUAUGUCUGAAUGCUUCAACCAUGAAAAUACUUAGUACCAGCUCUGGCAUAUUUAUGUUGGCUCCCUGAUUAGACAACGUGCCAAACUGUCCUUCGUGGCCUUAAUUAUUGCAACUUCAGGCCAGCAUUGCCUGCUUACAGCAUAAUCCCACGGCCUAGAGUGAACCCUGAAAAUGCUUAAUUAAAUGACAUUCCACAACAGAUUAAGGAGUCAGAAGCCUGAGAUAAAGGAAAAGGGAGACUGUGACCAUAGGAGUGGCAGGUGCUCUUCCCUUUCAAGAUAAAACUCCUGACAUGGACUGUUUCAUUUUGAGCACAUUAAAAACCGAAACAUUAAUUGGUAACAGUGUAGGGUCUGUGCUUGGCUUCUUGCGUUUUCAGUACAAAGUGAUUCAGAGACAUCUCAUCUUGGGCUGGUGUAUGAAAGGACUCUCACUGAUUUACAUCAGUGGAGGAUCUGCUCUGUGCUCAGCAUAAUUUGACUGUCUCCAUAAUAGUGUGUGAGUUAUGGCAUGAUCAUGAAGUCUGCUCAUGUGAGCAGGCGCUGCCAGCCAGGUCACAGAGCGUGGCUCGCAGUUCAUGUGGUGCUGCACCAGCUUUCCCCAGCCUGGAGCCUGGCGGUGCCAGGGAAGGGCUGCGGGGUGGACACCCUCCUGCAGCUUCUACAGCAGUGACCAGUGACGGUGCCCUUUGCUUUGGGCACCUGGAUGAGGCCCUUUGGCAAACGUGGUGGAUGCCUUUGCUUUGUGGUUCUGAAGUCCAGGCUGUGCAUCAGGGUCAUGCAUCAAAAAUCAGUUGCCUUUGUUUAAAUUUUUUUUAAAAAGAAAACCAAAAUCUCUUCUCUAUGUAAAAAGCUAGUGUGCAGUUAUUUGGAACAGACUUGAUAAUAUUGUGUUAGGGAGUCCCCGUGGGAGCCAAAGUCUAUGUGUAACCACAGAAGAUCAGCAUACAAAUACAAACACUGUAGAUAAUGGUAUAUUGCACAGAUUAGGGCUCAAAUCUUCAGCAAAUCUGUUCAGAGCAAAGAAAUGACAGCAAGUGGGGCAUAUGCAGCACACCGAGCACAUCUCAUUCACAGGCCCAUUGGUAAAGGCAGUUAUUUCUAAUACUGUGUUUUAUCAUAUUAUUCCUCAAUUAUUUGCUCUGACAGUUCUCUUGUCUUG